AGUGAACGCUGGCGGUAGGCCUAACACAUGCCAGUCGAACGGCAGCACAGUAAGAGCUUGCUCUUACGGGUGGCGAGUGGCGGACGGGUGAAGAAUACAUCGGAAUCUACUUUUUCGUGGGGGAUAACGUAGGGAAACUUACGCUAAUACCGCAUACGACCUACGGGUGAAAGCAGGGGAUCUUCGGACCUUGCGCGAUUGAAUGAGCCGAUGUCGGAUUAGCUAGUUGGCGGGGUAAAGGCCCACCAAGGCGACGAUCCGUAGCUGGUCUGAGAGGAUGAUCAGCCACACUGGAACUGAGACACGGUCCAGACUCCUACGGGAGGCAGCAGUGGGGAAUAUUGGACAAUGGGCGCAAGCCUGCUCCAGCCAUACCGCGUGGGUGAAGAAGGCCUUCGGGUUGUAAAGCCCUUUUGUUGGGAAAGAAAAGCAGCAGGUUAAUACCCCGCUGUUCUGACGGUACCCAAAGAAUAAGCACCGGCUAACUUCGUG
rnacentral:rRNA from 1 species